GAGCCCGUAGCUCAGCUGGUAGAGCACCUCACUUUUAAUGAGGGUGUCGUGCGUUCGAGUCGCACCGGGCUCAC
rnacentral:tRNA from 1 species